rnacentral:tRNA from 1 species
GCGGCCGUAGUCUAGUUAUAGGGGUUCGGGAAAAGUAGACUGUCCUAUACGAAUCUCUACUGGAAUGGAUUAGGACAUCAGCCUGCCACGCUGACGACCCGGGUUCAAAUCCCGGCGGCCGCACCA